UGCACCUUCACCAAUGGCCUGCCAUG
rnacentral:piRNA from 1 species